UACGUAGGGGGCUAGCGUUGUCCGGAUUUAUUGGGCGUAAAGAGCGUGUAGGCGGCCAUGUAGGUCCGGUGUGAAAACUCGAGGCUUAACCUCGAGAUGUCAUCGGAAACCAUUUGGCUAGAGUCCGGAAGAGGAGAGUGGAAUUCCUGGUGUAGCGGUGAAAUGCGCAGAUAUCAGGAAGAACACCAAUGGCGAAAGCAGCUCUCUGGGACGGUACUGACGCUGAGACGCGAAAGCUAGGGGAGCAAAGCGGG
rnacentral:rRNA from 1 species